UUUGUACCAGGGGGCCCAGGGCUGCACAGAGUGCUCCAUGUGCUCAAACUUCUCUAUUCUUCAGCACACAGCAAUGUGUCCUUUGGGUUUUCUGAGCUGUAUAUCAUGUCCUGGUGCUUGAAAUCACAGAACCAGCUGAAUGCCAUUGUAAACUUGAAAAGAGCUACAAGGAGACUUAAUUUGAAAACAUAAAGGUCACUGAAGGCCUGACAAAUGGGAUGCCUUUGGCAAAAAUAUACUCGCUGACUUGAGCACCACCUCUGAAAAUGGAAACAAACCAAUGUGCUGAUACUGCAGAGCUGCUGAUUGACUGGAGCCCCUUUGUUCACACAGAAAUCACCCACGUGCUGAAAUUCACUGAUUUUCCAUUGAAUCUACAUCAGCUUCGUUCCUGCAGCCAUACUCACCCUGAGAGUCCCUCACACCUUCUUUGAAAACGAGUACCUGAAUGUGGAUAAAGUUGGUGAAAUUUUUCCCCACCAGAAAAGUGUCUUGACUUCAAAUAUCCUUAAUUUUACAAGUGUAGGGAAUACAGUAUCCAUAUGGGGUCAAUAUAAACUCCCCAUCAGGAGCUGAUCACAUUUGAAAGCGUGGGGAAAUGAAAAUAUCCAGAUACUGCUCAUGGCCCUUGUUAAACACAGCAUGGUAAAUCAGGGUGUUUAGGAAUGCAAAUUCUACUCCAGUUUGCUUUCCUAUGGAAAAGCCAAGGUUAUGGCUAAGGUGCUAGCACAGAGUAAAGAAAUCUGACAGUAGAAGGCUUCUUGCUCUUGCAAAAGGAGAUGAAAGGUGGAUGUGCAGGGGCAGAUGGAGUGAGUUCAGCCAGAAAUAUGAUUUAGUUUCCUAGAUCUGAGGGAAAUUAAACAUGGAAACAGCUCCUCUCAGGAGGCAAGGAGAUCCUCAAGUGUUGUGUGUGUACUUUUCAGCCCAAGAUUAAAUGUCUUUUCAAAAGACAGACUUUAAUUACACAUCUUGGAAGAGCUCUGUGGAUUGUAUUUACAGAACACUUGCUAAUCACCAUGUUUUGAGAAUAUAAACUCCCCAUUUCUACAGUCUCACUUAAAAAUAAUCCAAUCAUUAAAUAUAGGCACUGAAUGGAGGGACAAAAGGGAGGUGACAUCAAUAAGAAAGGCAAAAAUGUGUCUCAAUAACUUAAGUUUGCCUGGAUGCAUGAUAUUUUGGAAAGCUGCUCUUGGAAACCCAUCCUGGAGAGGCAAAAGUUGUCCUGAGGAGUCCCUGUCCUGUGAACCCUGGGCUUAAGUCAUGCUUUUGAGGGUAAAAAGGGUCUCAUCACCCAUGUGAAGCUCAAGAUGUGUGAAAGUGUUUGCAAAACUGGGACACAAGCAGAGAUUAUUUUAAUAUGAAAGGGAAGGGGAGGAUACAGGAACUGUUCUCUUUUACAAAUUGGGGCAAAUAAAGUGGCUCUGCUAUCAUUGUUCA
rnacentral:lncRNA from 1 species